GUGCUCACUUUGGCAGCACGUAUACUAAAAGUGGAAUGAUACAGAGAAGAUUAGCAUGGCCCCUGCACAAGGAUGAUAUGCAAAUUCAUGAAGCGUUCCCUACUUUU
rnacentral:snRNA from 1 species